UACGGAGGGAGCUAGCGUUGUUCGGAUGAUAACUGGGCGUAAAGCGUGCGUAGGCGGUUCGUUAAGUCUGUUGUGAAAGCCCCGGGCUCAACCUGGGAAUGGCAAUGGAUACUGGCGAGCUAGAGUGUGUCAGAGGAUGGUGGAAUUCCCGGUGUAGCGGUGAAAUGCGUAGAGAUCGGGAGAACAUCAGUGGCGAAAGCGAAUCUCUGGGCAGCAACUGACGCUGAGCACGAAGGCCAGGGGAGGCAAACGGG
rnacentral:rRNA from 1 species